rnacentral:rRNA from 1 species
GGAUUGGCACAUCGGUCGUGCCUUAAGGGGCAUGAACUGGUGUAGCCAAUUUCUCACCUUCUGGAGAACCGCGAUGUCCUUAAUUGGGUGCCGCGAGGAACCAGGACCUUUACUUUGAAAAAAUUAGAGUGUUUAAAGCAGGCAUUUUGCUUGAAUACAUUAGCAUGGAAUAAUAAAAUAGGACGGAUGGUUCUAUUUUGUUGGUUUCUAGGAUCACCGUAAUGAUUAAUAGGGAUAGUUGGG